rnacentral:rRNA from 1 species
AACAGGAUUAGAUACCCUGGUAGUCCUCGCCGUAAACGAUGUCGACUUGGAGGUUGUGCCCUUGAGGCGUGGCUUCCGGAGCUAACGCGUUAAGUCGACCGCCUGGGGAGUACGGCCGCAAGGUUAAAACUCAAAUGAAUUGACGGGGGCCCGCACAAGCGGUGGAGCAUGUGGUUUAAUUCGAUGCAACGCGAAGAACCUUACCUGGUCUUGACAUCCACGGAAGUUUUCAGAGAUGAGAAUGUGCCUUCGGGAACCGUGAGACAGGUGCUGCAUGGCUGUCGUCAGCUCGUGUUGUGAAAUGUUGGGUUAAGUCCCGCAACGAGCGCAACCCUUAUCCCUUGUUGCCAGCGGUCCGGCCGGGAACUCAAAGGAGACUGCCAGUGAUAAACUGGAGGAAGGUGGGGAUGACGUCAAGUCAUCAUGGCCCUUACGACCAGGGCUACACACGUGCUACAAUGGCGCAUACAAAGAGAAGCGACCUCGCGAGAGCAAGCGGACCUCAUAAAGUGCGUCGUAGUCCGGAUUGGAGUCUGCAACUCGACUCCAUGAAGUCGGAAUCGCUAGUAAUCGUGGAUCAGAAUGCCACGGUGAAUACGUUCCCGGGCCUUGUACACACCGCCCGUCACACCAUGGGAGUGGGUUGCAAAAGAAGUAGGUAGCUUAACCUUCGGGAGGGCGCUUACCACUUUGUGAUUCAUGACUGGGGUGAAGUCGUAACAAGGUAACC